rnacentral:rRNA from 1 species
UACGUAGGGUCCGAGCGUUGUCCGGAAUUAUUGGGCGUAAAGAGCUCGUAGGCGGUUUGUCGCGUCUGCUGUGAAAUCCCGAGGCUCAACCUCGGGCCUGCAGUGGGUACGGGCAGACUGGAGUGCGGUAGGGGAGAAUGGAAUUCCUGGUGUAGCGGUGGAAUGCGCAGAUAUCAGGAGGAACACCCGUAGCGAAGGCGGCACUCUGGGCCGAUUCUGACACUGAGGAGCGAAAGCGUGGGGAGCGAACAGG